ACAAAGGAUUUUUUAAAAUCCUUCUAACUAGUUCAGUUACAGUGUAU
rfam:Sus scrofa chromosome 7.